AUUGAACGCUGGCGGCAUGCCUUACACAUGCAAGUCGAACGGCAGCAUAGGAGCUUGCUCCUGAUGGCGAGUGGCGAACGGGUGAGUAAUAUAUCGGAACGUGCCCUAGAGUGGGGGAUAACUAGUCGAAAGAUUAGCUAAUACCGCAUACGAUCUACGGAUGAAAGUGGGGGAUCGCAAGACCUCAUGCUCCUGGAGCGGCCGAUAUCUGAUUAGCUAGUUGGUGGGGUAAAAGCCUACCAAGGCGACGAUCAGUAGCUGGUCUGAGAGGACGACGAGCCACGCUGGGACUGGGACACGGCCCAGACUCCGACGGGAGGCAGCAGUGGGGAAUUUUGGACAAUGGGGGCAACCCUGAUCCAGCAAUGCCGCGUGAGUGAAGAAGGCCUUCGGGUUGUAAAGCUCUUUUGUCAGGGAAGAAACGGUUUUGGCUAAUAUCCAAGACUAAUGACGGUACCUGAAGAAUAAGCACCGGCUAACUACGUGCCAGCCGCCGCGGUAA
rnacentral:rRNA from 1 species